GUGAGGAAUAUUGGACAAUGGGCGCAAGCCUGAUCCAGCCAUGCCGCGUGCAGGAAGACGCAUCUAUGGUGUGUAAACUGCUUUUGUACGGGAAGAAACACUCCCUCGUGAGGGAGCUUGACGGUACCGUAAGAAUAAGGAUCGGCUAACUCCGUGCCAGCAGCCGCGGUAAUACGGAGGAUCCAAGCGUUAUCCGGAAUCAUUGGGUUGAAAGGGUCCGUAGGCGGUUUAAUAAGUCAGUGGUGAAAGCCCAACGCUCAACGAUGGAACGGCCAUUGAUACUGUUAGACUUGAAUUACAAAGAAGUAACGAGAAUAUGUAGUGUAGCGGUGAAAUGCUUAUAUAUUACAUGGAAUACCAAUUGCGAAGGCAGGUUACUACUUGUGGAUUGACGCUGAUGGACGAAAGCGUGGGGAGCGAACAGGAUUAGAAACCCGUGUAGUCC
rnacentral:rRNA from 1 species